rnacentral:misc_RNA from 1 species
GUGAGUCAUCGAAUCUUUGAACGCAACUGGCGCUUUUUGGUAUUCCAAAAAGCAUGCCUGUUUGAUAUCGGUAAAAACCAUGAGCACAGAAUUUAUUUUGUGGUCAUCUAUGGAUGUUUCUUCAAUUUGAAGUCAUCUAAAAUAUAUUUUAUAAUAGUGAACCUCUUAGCCAUUUUAAGACGUGAUAAUAUUUCUUUUAAAGAACAUUUCUCACUUAUUAACAUUGCUGUAAUGUUCUACUAAUAAUUGUUUGUGCUUUACUUCAAUGAAGUGUGUACAACCCAAUAGGUCGGUAUCAAA